GGGAGUGUGGGGUUGGGAAAUCAGAGAUGAAAGGGACAGAAGAAUCCCCCUUUGCAAGAGGUGCCAUCAGGACAAUCUGGAGGAGAUGGAGGGAGGAAGAACUCGUGCUUCCAGGGCUUGGCCGACAGCCUCCGUGGGGAUGGGAGGAAAGAUGCGCUCCGCAGCUGCAUUCCAGCAACCCACUCCAGAGUGAAGCCCUAUUCCCAAGUGCCUGUUACUAAAUAUAGCCCUGCCUCUCAGACUGACAGGAGAGCUCCCGCUGGGUGCAAGCACCAGGAGCGGAAUCUUCACUUCGCACACUCCUAAUAUGGUAAGCCCUGCAGACUGUGGGCCUGUGAGCAGGAGGGGGACCAGGCGGAGCUCCACGCCUCCGUGAGGUUAACCCCUUGGCAGAAGGCAGAAUGGAAGAGAGACUGACCACUGGUGGCUGCAGAUGCUCUGGUUACUAACAGCCACAAGUCAAGUCAACGUGAUCUGGAAGCCAGGAUCAGGUCGUCCUUCCAAACAGCAGUGUCUGCAGACAGUAAACUUCGGAUCAAAGCAGCAGGGCAAAAUGAACUGCCUAAGCCCCAUGGGUCACCUAAAUGAAACAGGAAAAGACAAAUAAAGGAAAAAGAAACAGCCUUCUCAGGCGAGUGGCAAAGGCAGCAGGACAGUGGAGGGACUGUCACAUGCAUGCCACGCCCUCCCCACAGGCUGUGUGUCAGCUCUGUCACAGCAGCUGCUGCCAGGAGCACAGAGGAAAACAGGUGUCCAUGCUGGCUUUUUAUAACAGACCUGAGUAGCGAAUAGAGACUGCAAAGAAUGGGGCCAGGGCCACCAAAUAUUCUUCCCGGCCUUGGAGACCCCACCAUGCCAGGGCCUGGGCCGUUCAGUGCUUCAGUGUUUACCAAGAUCCAGAGGAUGUGGCCCCUGCAGGGACAAUGAGGAAGAGCCAGUGAUUAGGUCCUGUUCCUGGGGCAUCACCACUAACGAAGGCUGUGGUCCAAGGCUUCCCACCAAGUCUGGGAAAGGAAAUACAACAUGGCGGCAGGCUAAACGAGGAUCAGGAGUCCCUGUUCGGCCCUUCUCUUGCUUCACCCCCUCCUUGGAAGCAGGGCUUGGAGCUGGUUUCAUGCAACAUUCUUCCUCAGCUGAGAAUGCAGACCCUCCCCCACGACCAGUCCUUAUCAACAGCUGUCCAGGGUCUGGGGCAUAUCAUUAGGUGAAGCCUUGGGGCAGCUGUGCCUCUGGUCCUUGACCCUGCAUUUAUUUUAGAGAUUAAAGACCAGAGGGAGUGGGAAGAGAAGCAGACUCAGAGUCUGCACAUCAUCUCAGCCCCAUUGCACCAGGCGGCAGAGAAAAGCCUGAAAACCAGACGUCCUACUGGCCGCACAGCUCCUGCCUGAGCCUUCCCCCAUUGCGUGCUCGCCACAUUGAAGAGCGAAUAAAAUCGCCAGGUGUUUAACAAUCAUAACAGCUUUUAUUCAGCACUCAUUAUGUGCCAGAUAGGGAGCUAAACACUUUUUACACAUUAAAUUAUUUAAUCCGCUCAACUCCUGAGAGGUUUAUACUAUUUUCUCCCUUUUUGUGAGAGAAGAAACUGAGGCUUAGGAAGGGCAGGUGACUUGUCCAAGGUCACACAGCGUGCAUCUGUGAACGCAGGAUUCUGACCCAUACUGUCAACUCCAAACGCAAAGAUGACAGAGAGGGAACUACUUGCUUCUGAAGUUUCAUGGCAUUUACAACCACCCCAGUCAUUUGGGAUUUGACAUAGUCUAAAAUGUUGCAUCAAUUUUCAUUUCAGGUUUUAUAAUCCCACAAAUAUUGCAAAUUCCUUGAGGUCAAAAACUGGCUGUUCUGCUUCUUUGUGUUCUUCCAAGUGUCAACAUAGCAAUUUGCACAAAACAGGCAAUUAAUGAUUAUGUACAUUAAUAAAUCUAAAAGAAGAGAGGCAAAUUAGCAAUAUCAAGUGAGCUGAAGAAACAGUGAGCCUAUAAAACCAAAACAGAGGAGGAUUUGUCUUCCCUUCUCAGGGUGGGGUCAGUAAAAGGCAAGUUCCAAGUCUAUCUUGAGUUCCCAAGGAGGGAAAUAUCACAGUCAGGUUAAUCAACUUUCUGAAAUAGCUCCAUUGGGAAUGAAGAGGACAGCAGAAGCAUCCUGAACGUGUCAGCGGGAAAUGAUUUCAGCAAAGCUCCAAUGUGCAUCAAGCUUGGCUCCCAGAAGCCCCAGACUCUCACAGCCUCAGAGAGGCAGCCUUGAUCCCUCCGCUCUUCCUGAGGGCUUAGAACUUGGGCAGAGGCCUGAGGGCAGGAGUCACGCAGCUCAGCCUGGAGCACACAAGCAGGAGAGGGCUGUGCACAAUGGAGAGGGAGCGAGAUAACGCAAAAUCCUUUAAGUAAAGACCCUGGGGCAGAGCGCCAGAUACCAAGGUACCAGGAUGUUUGUGGAUUCCAAUCUGCAAGGAGAGACAAGCGUGCUGACAUCACAGCCUACGAGACAGCCCAGGACAGGGGCACACUGCUCUCCUCCCACACCGUCCCCUUUGAGCUGGCCCCACACACGUGCACGCCCACGCACAAGCACACACCACCCCCCAACUGUACUCAACCCCUUCCUUUUCCUUAUCAAAGCACACACCUGUGAGCCCCAGACAGUGCUGGACUCCAGGCACCUCCUCCCCUCCUGGGGGCAGCUGCACACGAGUAUAAAGUGAGGAAAGUGACGCCAAUCUGCUAGAGGGAGAGGAAUCCCCCCUUCCCCUGUCCCCCAAUAAUCCAG
ensembl:lncRNA